rnacentral:lncRNA from 10 species
CGGGACUCGCCUCCGGGAGACCCCCGAGGGGGAGAGGGCGCUUCCUCCGCGUCCAUCGCCCUUGCCGCCCCUGGGUGGAACUGUUUUACAAAUCUGAGGGCCACCAUUCCAGGUAUGGCUAGCCUCCCGUUGGAAAAUUUUUACCAUCUUUCUUCAAUGUAGUUCUUAUUCUUGUGGGCAAACCAAGACUUUUCGUUUGGAGGGGACCUUGGGAUCCCCAGGAGGGGAAUCUCCGGGAGCGGGAGGCAUAGCUAAGGCUUCCUCUCUAGAAGGUGGAGUUGUCGUUGCAGCCCGUUUGCCUCUUCGUCUGCCUUUCUGCUUUGCUGCUUUUCGGGGCCUCCUGCAGCGCAUCACUGCCACCUCUUCCAGGGCCCACACAGCGUUUAACAGAGGUGGAAUUUCCUCCUUAUACUUUGUUUUUUCACUUCCAGCCGUUAAAAGUCUUUUAUUCUUUGUAAACAGCCUCAUGAACAUGCAAAGUGGCAGAAGCAUAUUUGGAAUCUGUGUAAAUACUUGCCUUCUGCUCUUUUCCUAGCCAGAGAGCUCUUGUCAGAGCUAUUAGCUCUGCUUUCUAAGCAGAAGUUUCUGCAGACAGAGACGGUACCUCUACUGCUGAGUCCAAAGUCACCGCGGCAUACCCAGCUCGGCAGACUCCCCUUAGUACGAAACUGCUUCCAUCAGUAAAAUAUUCAAUGUCCAGGUCCCCGAGGGGCCAAUCUGUUAAAUCUUUCCAGCUUGAGAACACUUUAUCUACCACGUCCACACAGCAAUGAAGGGGACUUCCUGUGUAGGGUCCAGCCCUACGGGGGCUUAGCGGGUGUUCUCCCCGUGUGCAGAGACAAGAGAUCGUAAGAAAUAAAGACACAAGACAAACAGAUAAAGAGAAAACAGCUGGGCCCAGGGGACCACUACCACCAAGACAUGGAGACCGCUAGUGGCUCCGAACGGCUGGCUGCGCUGAUAUUUAUUGAAUACAAGACAAGGGGGCAGGGUACGGACGGUGAGUCGUCCAAGUAAUUGAUAAGGUGAAGCAA